rnacentral:rRNA from 1 species
CAGGAUGAACGCUGGCGGCGUGCUUAACACAUGCAAGUCGAACGGUGAAGGCGGAGCUUGCUCUGCUGGAUCAGUGGCGAACGGGUGAGUAACACGUGAGCAAUCUGCCCCUGACUCUGGGAUAAGCGCUGGAAACGGCGUCUAAUACUGGAUACGAGCUGCGAAGGCAUCUUCAGCAGCUGGAAAGAAUUUCGGUCAGGGAUGAGCUCGCGGCCUAUCAGCUUGUUGGUGAGGUAAUGGCUCACCAAGGCGUCGACGGGUAGCCGGCCUGAGAGGGUGACCGGCCACACUGGGACUGAGACACGGCCCAGACUCCUACGGGAGGCAGCAGUGGGGAAUAUUGCACAAUGGGCGAAAGCCUGAUGCAGCAACGCCGCGUGAGGGACGACGGCCUUCGGGUUGUAAACCUCUUUUAGCAGGGAAGAAGCGAAAGUGACGGUACCUGCAGAAAAAGCGCCGGCUAACUACGUGCCAGCAGCCGCGGUAAUACGUAGGGCGCAAGCGUUAUCCGGAAUUAUUGGGCGUAAAGAGCUCGUAGGCGGUUUGUCGCGUCUGCUGUGAAACCCCGAGGCUCAACCUCGGGCCUGCAGUGGGUACGGGCAGACUAGAGUGCGGUAGAGGAGAUUGGAAUUCCUGGUGUAGCGGUGGAAUGCGCAGAUAUCAGGAGGAACACCGAUGGCGAAGGCAGAUCUCUGGGCCGUAACUGACGCUGAGGAGCGAAAGGGUGGGGAGCAAACAGGCUUAGAUACCCUGGUAGUCCACCCCGUAAACGUUGGGAACUAGUUGUGGGGUCCAUUCCACGGAUUCCGUGACGCAGCUAACGCAUUAAGUCCCCGCCUGGAGACCGACUUCU